GAUUGAACGCUAGCGGGAUGCUUUACACAUGCAAGUCGAACGGCAGCGCGGACUUCGGUCUGGCGGCGAGUGGCGAACGGGUGAGUAAUGUAUCGGAACUUGCCCAGUAGCGGGGGAUAACUACGCGAAAGCGUAGCUAAUACCGCAUACGCCCUACGGGGGAAAGCAGGGGAUCGUAAGACCUUGCACUAUUGGAGCGGCCGAUAUCGGAUUAGCUAGUUGGUGAGGUAACGGCUCACCAAGGCGACGAUCCGUAGCUGGUUUGAGAGGACGACCAGCCACACUGGAACUGAGACACGGCCCAGACUCCUACGGGAGGCAGCAGUGGGGAAUUUUGGACAAUGGGGGCAACCCUGAUCCAGCCAUCCCGCGUGUGCGAUGAAGGCCUUCGGGUUGUAAAGCACUUUUGGCAGGAAAGAAACGUCGCGGGCUAAUACCCCGUGGAACUGACGGUACCUGCAGAAUAAGCACCGGCUAACUACGUG
rnacentral:rRNA from 1 species